GGAGGCGUGAGGGCGCCUGGUGGCCCCCGCGGUCUUCAAAACCGACGUGGCCCGGUAUCCGGGUCAGGCGGGUUCGAUUCCCGUCCGCCUCCGCCA
rnacentral:tRNA from 2 species